CCUACGGGCGGCAGCAGUCGAGAAUCAUUCACAAUGGGGGAAACCCUGAUGGUGCGACGCCGCGUGGGGGAAUGAAGGUCUUCGGAUUGUAAACCCCUGUCAUGUGGGAGCAAAUUAAAAAGAUAGUACCACAAGAGGAAGAGACGGCUAACUCUGUGCCAGCAGCCGCGGUAAUACAGAGGUCUCAAGCGUUGUUCGGAAUCACUGGGCGUAAAGCGUGCGUAGGCUGUUUCGUAAGUCGUGUGUGAAAGGCGCGGGCUCAACCCGCGGACGGCACAUGAUACUGCGAGACUAGAGUAAUGGAGGGGGAACCGGAAUUCGCGGUGUAGCAGUGAAAUGCGUAGAUAUCGAGAGGAACACUCGUGGCGAAGGCGGGUUCCUGGACAUUAACUGACGCUGAGGCACGAAGGCCAGGGGAGCGAGAGGGAUUAGAUACCCCUGUAGUC
rnacentral:rRNA from 1 species